rnacentral:sRNA from 1 species
GGGUUCUCCUACUCUUAGACCUGUCUCAAACACACAACUUCAGGGACAUCGGAUGGUCUUGCAGCCUGUUAGGAGUCCAAGUGGAAUGAAUCUAUUCAGGCACCCUAAUGGGCAGAUUGUCCAGCUUCUACCUUUGCAUCAGCUUCGAGGCUCUAAUACCCAGCCCAACUUACAGCCUGUCAUGUUUCGGAACCCAGGGUCUGUGAUGGGAAUCCGGUUACCUGCUCCUUCCAAACCCUCUGAGACUCCGCCAUCUUCCACUUCGUCCUCUGCUUUCUCUGUCAUGAAUCCUGUAAUUCAAGCUGUUGGGUCUUCUUCAGCAGUGAAUGUUAUCACUCAGGCACCAUCAUUGCUUUCCUCUGGAGCUAGUUUUGUGUCUCAGGCUGGUACAUUGACCCUGAGGAUUUCUCCUCCUGAACCACAAAGCUUUGCAAGUAAAACAGGCUCUGAAACCAAAAUAACCUAUAGCUCAGGAGGACAGCCUGUUGGUACAGCCAGUCUUAUUCCUCUCCAGUCUGGUAGUUUUGCCUUGUUACAGCUCCCAGGACAAAAGCCUGUUCCUAGCUCCAUUCUUCAACAUGUUGCUUCCCUUCAGAUGAAGAGAGAAUCUCAGAAUCCAGACCAGAAAGAUGAAACAAACUCAAUAAAAAGAGAGCAAGAAACGAAGAAGGUUCUACAGUCAGAAGGAGAGGCUGUAGACCCUGAGGCUAAUAUAAUAAAACAAAACUCAGGAGCUGCUACCUCAGAAGAAACUCUGAAUGAUUCCUUGGAAGAUAGGGGUGAUCAUUUGGAUGAAGAAUCCCUUCCAGAAGAAGGUUCUGCAACUGUCAAACCAUCUGAGCAUUCCUGUAUCACUGGGUCACAUACAGAUCAAGAUUAUAAAGAUGUUAAUGAAGAAUAUGGGGCUAGGAAUCGUAAGAGUUCCAAAGAAAAAGUGGCUGUUCUAGAAGUUAGGACCAUUUCUGAAAAAGCCAGUAAUAAGACAGUCCAAAAUUUAAGUAAAGUACAGCAUCAAAAACUUGGUGAUGUGAAGGUGGAACAGCAGAAAGGAUUCGACAAUCCAGAAGAAAACUCAAGUGAAUUUCCAGGCUCCUUUAAGGAAGAAAGUAAAUUUGAAUUGUCAGGAAGCAAAGUUAUGGAGCAGCAAUCUAAUCUACAGCCAGAGGCCAAAGAGAAGGAAUGUGGAUACUCUCUGGAGAAAGACAGUAUUAGGGAAAGAUGGAGAAAACAUCUGAAGGGCCCUUUAACCAGGAAAUGUGUCGGAGCUUCACAGGAAUGUAAGAAAGAGGCAGACGAGCAGUUAAUUAAAGAAACAAAGACAUGUCAGGAAAAUUCAGAUGUGUUUCAGCAAGAACAAGGCAUCUCUGACUUACUUGGAAAAAGUGGAAUUGCUGAAGAUGCCAGAGUUUUGAAAACUGAAUGUGAUUCUUGGAGUAGGAUUUCUAAUCCUUCAGCCUUCUCCAUUGUUCCUAGGAGAGCCGCAAAAAGCAGCAGAGGGAAUGGACAUUUUCAGGGUCACUUACUGCUACCUGGAGAACAGAUACAACCAAAGCAAGAGAAGAAGGGUGGGAGAAGCAGUACUGACUUCACUGUUUUGGAUUUGGAAGAAGAUGAUGAAGAUGAUAAUGAGAAAACCGAUGAUUCUAUUGAUGAAAUUGUGGAUGUUGUUUCUGACUACCAGAGUGAGGAGGUUGAUGAUGUAGAAAAGGUGGUGAGCCCAUUUUUGUUGUGACUGAAACCUAAAGGAUUUAAAUGAUUUAAUUAAAGACAGAAGCUUUUUCAGAAGAUCACUAAGGCAUAAUACAUUUAAUUGGAUGCCUAGGUUUAGAUUAUGACUUAAAUGGCUUAGUAGUUCUUUAGGCUGUGUCAAUCAAGCAUCAUUUAUUGAACUUUUAUUCUUUGAGACUUGUCUGGUUUUAUGGGAAGGCUGGCUUAAGCAUUUGGGGGAUAGGUGCUUGAGAGUCCCUACCGAGUUAGAUUUUUAAAAUCCCAAAACCACUACUCCCAUUUGAUCUCAGUCAAUUUCUAUGACGUUUUCUAUGUGAGGUGGUUGUAGCUUCUCUGGUAGAUGUUAAUCAGAAACUAGCAAUGGAUGACCUUAGAAUUGGAGGAGAACCUAUUCACUUGCAUAUAGAGAGAUGUUUUUGUUUUUGGAGAAAAACUGGAAAAUACCAUCAUAUUCUAAUACCAUUUUGCCUUGAGUUGCUUUUAUUUCCAAAAAUUAAAUAUUUAGUCCCUGGAAUUUAUAUUCUAGGCUUUGGUCAUCGUCCUUUGUAAUAUGACCUUUAUGGCCUAUUUUUAUUAUUUUCCUGAAGUUUUUUUAUAGGAUUCCUAUUUAGGGUUGUUGUAUUUACUGAAAUAAGUAACUGUCAGGUAUUGAUACAGUGCAGGAGUUGUACAAACGAUUUCUGUAAAAGGCCAGAUAGUAAAUAGUUGUAGACUUUGCAGAGAGCUAGACGGCUCUCUGUUGCAACUGAUUGACUGCUGUUGUAGUAUAAAAGCAGCUGUAUUCCAUUAAAACUUUAGUAAAAAAGUCCAGGUGCGGUGACUCACACCCAUAAUCCCAGCACUUUGGAAGGCCGAGGUGAGUGGAUCACCUGACGUCAGGAGUUUGAGACUAGUCUGGCCAACAUGACAAAACCCUGUCUCUACUAAAAAUACAAAAAAUUAGCCAGGUGUGGUGGUGGGUGCCUGUAAUCCCAGUACUCAGAAGGCUGAGGCAGGAGAAUCGCUUGAACCCGGGAGGCGGAGGUUGCAGUGAGCCUAGAUCGCGCCAUUGCACUCCAGUCUGGGCGACAAGAACAAAACUCCGUCUCGGGUUAAAAAAAAAAAAAAAAAAAAAGGUUGUUGGUGAGCUGUGGUUUGCUGACCCCUGACAUAAGGUCUGAUGUAAAACAUGGGGAGAUCAUAACUAGCUGCCCGUAGAGUGCCCUAAAAUCUAAACUGUGUCCUUCUCUUCAGGAGCAGAUGACAGCCAUCUGCACUGAUUGUCAUACAACUGCUUGUUUUACAAUCGCACUUCCUUGAGAUUCAUUCUGCCUUUGUGUUAUCUGGUCCUUUUCUGUUAAUGCUUAACUGCUUUAUGCACAUAAAAUAAAACAAAAAGAUUACUGUUUUAAAAAUCUAAAAUGUUGAAAUAUUUUAUUUUAGUGACGGAGUCUUACUCUGUCGCCCAGGCUGGAGUGCAGUGGCGCGAACUCGACUCACUGCAACCUCUACCUCCGGGGCUCAAGCAAUUCUCCUGCUUCAGCCUCCUGAGUAGCUGAGAUUGCAGGAGCCCGCCACUGCCCCAGAUAAUUUUUGUAUUUACAUAGAGAUGGGGUUUCACCAUCUUGGCCAGGCUGGUCUUAAUGUUCUUAUAUUGGUUAUUUCAGUACCUCCAUUGUCUCAUUUAUAAAGGAGGAUCUUGCUCUAAAA